rnacentral:rRNA from 1 species
CUACGGGCCGCACCAGCAGGGAAUAUUGCACAAUGGACGGAAGUCUGAUGCAGCGACGCCGCGUGGAUGAUGAAGGCCCUCGGGUUGUAAAAUCCUUUUCAGGGGGACGAGGAAGGACGGUACCCUUGGAAUAAGCGUCGGCUAACUACGUGCCAGCAGCCGCGGUAAGACGUAGGACGCAAGCGUUAUCCGGAUUUACGGGGCGUAAAGCGUCUGUAGGCGGAAUGGUAAGUUGGACGUGAAAGCUCCGGGCUCAACCCGGGGAGGUCGUUCAAUACUGCCAAACUAGAGGGCAUCAGAGGAGCGUGGAAUUUCCGGUGUAGCGGUAAAAUGCGCAGAUAUCGGAAGGAACACCAAUGGCGAAGGCAGCGCUCUGGGAUGAACCUGACGCUAAGAGACGAAAGCUAGGGGAGCGAACAGGAUUAGAUACCCCCGUAGUC